UGGGGAAUAUUGCACAAUGGGCGCAAGCCUGAUGCAGCCAUGCCGCGUGUGUGAAGAAGGCCUUCGGGUUGUAAAGCACUUUCAGCGAGGAGGAAGGUGGUGAGCUUAAUACGCUCAUCAAUUGACGUUACUCGCAGAAGAAGCACCGGCUAACUCCGUGCCAGCAGCCGCGGUAAUACGGAGGGUGCAAGCGUUAAUCGGAAUUACUGGGCGUAAAGCGCACGCAGGCGGUUUGUUAAGUCAGAUGUGAAAAUCCCCGGGCUCAACCUGGGAACUGCAUUUGAAACUGGCAAGCUAGAGUCUCGUAGAGGGGGGUAGAAUUCCAGGUGUAGCGGUGAAAUGCGUAGAGAUCUGGAGGAAUACCGGUGGCGAAGGCGGCCCCCUGGACGAAGACUGACGCUCAGGUGCGAAAGCGUGGGGAGCAAAACAGGAUUAGAUACCCUGGUAGUCCACGCUGUAAACGAUGUCGAUUUUGGAGGUUGUGCCCUUGAGGCGUGGCUUCCGGAGCUAACGCGUUAAAUCGACCGCCUGGGGAGUACGGCCGCAAGGUUAAAACUCAAAGUAAUUGACGGGGUC
rnacentral:rRNA from 1 species